AGAUUGAACGCUGGCGGCAUGCCUUACACAUGCAAGUCGAACGGCAGCACGGGAGCAAUCCUGGUGGCGAGUGGCGAACGGGUGAGUAAUACAUCGGAACGUGCCCAAUCGUGGGGGAUAACGCAGCGAAAGCUGUGCUAAUACCGCAUAAGAUCUACGGAUGAAAGCAGGGAUCGCAAGACCUUGCGACGAAUGGAGCGGCCGACGGCAGAUUAGGUAGUUGGUAGAAGGUAAGGCUCACCAAGCCUUCGAUCUGUAGCUGGUCUGGAGAGGACGACCAGCCAC
rnacentral:rRNA from 1 species